AAGCUCACACCAAGACUCAAGGGCAGACUCAAGAGAAGUCACUGGAUCUCUUUGUCCCUGCUUCUAAUGUAGCUACAUUGAAAAAUCUCCUUCUGCUCCUUAUUGUUACUUGUUUGCUUAACUUAUCAUUUGUUUGUUUUUUUGGAAGGUGAGGAAACUUGGGUUAUUACAGCUGUCAAGGCUGAGGCUCUGGCCCCAAUGACUCCAGGAACAACACUACUGAAAAAGCUGCUAGUGUCUACCUCUUCGGGAGAGAUGGUCCACUCUUGCCCUACUGGGGAUUCCUAUCCCAGAAAACACAUCCUGAAUGUCUUCUCUCCUGUCUGGGAACUGGAAAUGGCUACUCAUCUUCACAAUCUUUACCAGCACCCAGCCUCCUGCCAGUGAUGGCAUGGGAGGUCAGAGGACCACAGAACCCAUCAAUUCCCUCCUGAAUAAAACACAAGCAGCUUAGUAGAAAGCUCCAACAAGACGCAGUGGAUAUAAUGGACCAGUCCUUCAACAGGUCUCGGGCUCUAAGUGUCAGGCAUUCACCAUAUCAUCCCAUAAUUUCUAUCUCUGUUCUAGAAAGGAAUAAGGAAUGGGGUGUGUGUAGAAUUGGCCUCUACAGCUCUUGGUAGAAUUGCCAGCAUUAUCAAUUCUUUUUUCUGGGGACUGAGAAAAGGUUGGGGAGGGAGAGAAAGAAUGGACAACUUUGGUUGACAAACUGAGCAUCAGAUUCUAUGAUUGAUAAAAACGACCAGUAUUGUCAUUGAACAUGUAAUGUUUAAGCCUACAGCAAAGAAAAGAGUGUUGAACCCCAGGGUUUUGUUAAGGAUAAAUAUAGAUUUUUGUUAGGCUUUUUAAAAUAAUGAGGCUAAGUUAUUAAUACCCAUGAUUUCCAAUGUAAUUAGCUGCUGGGAAUAAAUGAGUGGGAAAGUUGAAGUAGAUAGUUCUAAGACUUGUCUAACAUGUAGACACAGGCAUGGCCCCCCACACAAAAUUACCAUUUAAAAAUACAAGAAGGGCCCUGCCUCCCAUUGAACCCUGCAAUCUAUAAGUCCUAUUCUGCCCUACACAUCCAACCUCCCCCUGUGGCACAAGCAACUCCUGAAGGUAAAGACACCAUCUGCAUAAUUUGGAGGGAGAGGUGAGUGAUUGGUCUCCUAGCUGGAUAGCCCCAUCUCUAGUCCUUAGGUCCUAGGGCACAUCCCAUGCACCUCCCCCACCCAUCACAGCC
rnacentral:lncRNA from 1 species